AAAAAAGUCUCCUAUUUCAUCAAGAAAAGUACACUGAUUCACAAUCAAUACAUUUAUUUGGGCCUUUUGCUGAUAUAUUGGUGAAUUUCGCAUGCAAUGAUACCAGUUUUUGCCAUGAAAGUUACGCGUAACAAUAAUUGGAGACGCAAAAUCAGCUGUCGUCACUUAGACUAAAAAUCAUGCAUUCCGACUUGACUGCGGCCAAUUUAGUCACCGCUUUAAAUGGCCAUUUUAAGGCCUUUACCCCCAUCCGAAUGCACUGAAAUUGCAUAUUCAUUGUGGAAAUAGUUGAAAUCUCAUGUGGAGAAAGUUUGAAAAAGAUAGGACAAAGUUGAGUUCCCUUAAAGGUUACAUUACACUAAAUCAUUGUGUAUCCCUCCGUGGUCCAUUCGAAAGUAGUGCCUAUUUCUAAAGAGUUCCUUUUCUCUUCUUGAAUAUAAGCCAUUUAACAAUGUGAGACAUGACUUUUGUGGUUAUUUGUAAUAUCCUGUAUGUGUCUGGAGUACUUUGAUGCCUUGGAUUGGAAGCUAACUUAAAAGAUGAACUUUUGAGGGUGUGUUUUCUAUUGUGUGGGGCUUUUGUCGAAAUUAGGAUUCCGAAACACGUUUUUCUACGGUGGGUUCAUUCGACAGCGAUUUACUUUCUUAGAAGUUGCGAGACGGUAUGUUUUUGAUUGCAAUUAUUGGAAGAUGACAGAUCCAUCUUUAAAAUGAUACCAGGUUCGGAAAAAUUGAUACGUCGGAAAGGCAAGAAAAAUGCUGUGAAAGUUGUCAGUUUUAUAAUGGGACCCUAUGGGAAUCGGAAUUAGUGUAAUAUAACCUUUAAAAAGCACAUUUACUGCAAUGUCAAGGUCACAUGGAUUCGUCUGCAAGCGAGACAAGUAGAAAAUGAAUUUUAAUGAAUGUUUUGAUGAUUUGGGUGCUAAAAUAGAUGAGAGGUGUCAAUAUUUUGGUCCAAAUGGAUGUUUUAGGUGGUUUUAGACGGUUCCGGAUGGGUGGGGGACCUGGUAUGGACAAGUAAGGGUAACAUUUCCAACAAAUCUUAAAUGUAAAUAUUAUUAUGUCCAUAGAUUGAAGUUUCAGGUGGAGAGCAAGAUGAAAAAUAUGCAAAAUUACAUGCAUGCAACCCAUUUAUGCCAUUUUUCUCUUUGUUUGUAGGCCUGACCGUUUGUCCUUGAGCCGUAGAUGGUCAACAAUCCGCUAGCUGUCUUGCUCUGACUGGUGCACUGGACAUGAUUUCAAUAGUCAGCCAGACCAUGAUUGAGCUUAAGGAUUGUGCUGCGGAUGCAGCCUGUGCAGUUCCGGGAGAAAGUCACUGUCUCGGGCAAUGCGGUCUGGUAUCAGGUCUGGAUGAUCCUUGCCUGACUGCGGGUUUGUGUACACCUCAAUCCGACUCUGUGUCCUGAACAGAGGCCGCAGUGGUGCAGCGCUUGUGGACGAUCCAUCAACAUCCUGAAAGGUCAACACUACACCAAGCUGGGAAAAUUGAUCCUGAUAGUCAUCCCCAGGCCUGACCGUUUGUCCUUGAGCCGUAGAUGGUCAACAAUCCGCUAGCUGUCUUGCUCUGACUGGUGCACUGGACAUGAUUUCAAUAGUCAGCCAGACCAUGAUUGAGCUUAAGGAUUGUGCUGCGGAUGCAGCCUGUGCAGUUCCGGGAGAAAGUCACUGUCUCGGGCAAUGCGGUCUGGUAUCAGGUCUGGAUGAUCCUUGCCUGACUGCGGGUUUGUGUACACCUCAAUCCGACUCUGUGUCCUGAACAGAGGCCGCAGUGGUGCAGCGCUUGUGGACGAUCCAUCAACAUCCUGAAAGGUCAACACUACACCAAGCUGGGAAAAUUGAUCCUGAUAGUCAUUCCCAGGCCUGACCGUUUGUCCUUGAGCCGUAGAUGGUCAACAAUCCGCUAGCUGUCUUGCUCUGACUGGUGCACUGGACAUGAUUUCAAUAGUCAGCCAGACCAUGAUUGAGCUUAAGGAUUGUGCUGCGGAUGCAGCCUGUGCAGUUCCGGGAGAAAGUCACUGUCUCGGGCAAUGCGGUCUGGUAUCAGGUCUGGAUGAUCCUUGCCUGACUGCGGGUUUGUGUACACCUCAAUCCGACUCUGUGUCCUGAACAGAGGCCGCAGUGGUGCAGCGCUUGUGGACGAUCCAUCAACAUCCUAAAGGUCAACACUACACCAAGCUG